AUCCACAGUGUUGCUGCUCUCAUCAAUCACUCUAACGAGUUGUAACGCAACAAACAAAAAAUGGGUUUGUCUAAGAACUCGCGAGUCCUACUGUUCAUGGCGGCUUUUCUCACAGCGAUCUUGUUCCUUUCCUCUGUCUCCAAGGCAGCAGUUGUAACAGGAGGACCUUUAAACCUGGGUCGUAAGCUUCUUCAAUAUAUUGGAGGGCCUCCCGCAUAUCCCGAUCCAUGGGGAGGAAAUCCACGUCCGGUUGGACCGCCAUAAAAUGUCUGAGAAAAUAAUAAACUUCAAUCUGGCAACUUGAAGAAGAAGGCACUAUUUCAAUAUUUGCAUUGGGGAUUAUCGGAAUUCUGUUAUUGUAUGUAAAAAAACUAAGUAAUAAUAUCGGGAUAACUAUUUAUUGUAUCGAUCUUCAUAUAUAUUGAUUGCUAUCGGGUAAAUAAUUGAGACCAGUUUGUAAUUUGUGUGCCAAUAUUAUGAAAAGUUUUUAGUUUCUUUGUUUCA